AGUGAACGCUGGCGGUGGGCCUAACACAUGCAAGUUGAACGGCAGCACAGUAAGAGCUUGCUCUUACGGGUGGCGAGUGGCGGACGGGUGAGGAAUACAUCGGAAUCUACUUUUUCGUGGGGGAUAACGUAGGGAAACUUACGCUAAUACCGCAUACGACCUACGGGUGAAAGCAGGGGAUCUUCGGACCUUGCGCGAUUGAAUGAGCCGAUGUCGGAUUAGCUAGUUGGCGGGGUAAAGGCCCACCAAGGCGACGAUCCGUAGCUGGUCUGAGAGGAUGAUCAGCCACACUGGAACUGAGACACGGUCCAGACUCCUACGGGAGGCAGCAGUGGGGAAUAUUGGACAAUGGGCGCAAGCCUGAUCCAGCCAUACCGCGUGGGUGAAGAAGGCCUUCGGGUUGUAAAGCCCUUUUGUUGGGAAAGAAAAGCAGCAGGUUAAUACCCCGCUGUUCUGACGGUACCCAAAGAAUAAGCACCGGCUAACUUCGUG
rnacentral:rRNA from 1 species